rnacentral:rRNA from 1 species
GAUGAACGCUGGCGGCGUGCUUAACACAUGCAAGUCGAACGGUGAAGCAGAGCUUGCUCUGUGGAUCAGUGGCGAACGGGUGAGUAACACGUGAGCAACCUGCCCCUGACUCUGGGAUAAGCGCUGGAAACGGCGUCUAAUACUGGAUAUGAGCUGCGACCGCAUGGUCAGCAGUUGGAAAGAUUUUUCGGUCUGGGAUGGGCUCACGGCCUAUCAGCUUGUUGGUGAGGUAAUGGCUCACCAAGGCGUCGACGGGUAGCCGGCCUGAGAGGGUGACCGGCCACACUGGGACUGAGACACGGCCCAGACUCCUACGGGAGGCAGCAGUGGGGAAUACUGCACAAUGGGCGAAAGCCUGAUGCAGCAACGCCGCGUGAGGGAUGACGGCCUUCGGGUUGUAAACCUCUUUUAGCAGGGAAGAAGCGAAAGUGACGGUACCUGCAGAAAAAGCGCCGGCUAACUACGUG